UACCUGCUGGCAAUGGGCAAAGAGACACCUUGUUGGCAGUGUUGAUUCUUAUAUCAGUCAGGGGCAGAGCAGAUGGCAGUUAUAUGUUCAUCCUAACUUGAUGCCUGGCUUGGUAGCCAAAACCUUUUAUGCCUGGGACUCAUAA